UCGGGUUGUAAAGCACUUUUGUCCGGAAAGAAAACUUCUGCCCUAAUACGGCGGGAGGAUGACGGUACCGGAAGAAUAAGCACCGGCUAACUACGUGCCAGCAGCGCGGUAAUCGUAGGGUGCGAGCGUUAAUCGGAAUUACUGGGCGUAAAGCGUGCGCAGGCGGUUCGUUAAGACAGAUGUGAAAUCCCCGGGCUUAACCUGGGAACUGCAUUUGUGACUGGCGAGCUCGAGUAUGGCAGAGGGGGGUAGAAUUCCACGUGUAGCAGUGAAAUGCGUAGAGAUGUGGAGGAAUACCGAUGGCGAAGGCAGCCCCCUGGGCCAAUACUGACGCUCAUGCACGAAAGCGUGGGGAGCAAACAGGAUUAGAUACCCUGGUAGUCCACGCCCUAAACGAUGUCAACUAGUUGUUGGGGAUUCAUUUCCUUAGUAACGUAGCUAACGCGUGAAGUUGACCGCCUGGGGAGUACGGUCGCAAGAUUAAAACUCAAAGGAAUUGACGGGGACCCGCACAAGCGGUGGAUGAAGGUGGAUUAAUUCGAUGCAACGCGAAAAACCUUACCUACCCUUGACAUGGUCGGAACCCUGCUG
rnacentral:rRNA from 1 species